rnacentral:rRNA from 1 species
GACGAACGCUGGCGGCGUGCCUAAUACAUGCAAGUAGAACGAGUGGCGGACGGGUGAGUAAUGUCUGGGAAACUGCCUGCUGGAGGGGGAUAACUACUGGAAACGGUAGCUAAUACCGCAUACCAUCAGAUGUGCCCAGAUGGGAUUGGCUAGUAGGUGAGGUAACGGCUCACCGAGGCGACGAGCCCUAGCUGGUCUGAGAGGAUGACCAGCCACACUGGAACUGAGACACGUGCCAGACUCCUACGGGAGGCAGCAGUGGGGAAUAUUGCACAAUGGGCGAAAGCCUGAUGCAGCCAUGCCGCGUGUAUGAAGAAGGCCUUCGGGUUGUAAAGUACUUUCAGCGGGGAGGCGUUACCCGCAGAAGAAGCACCGGCUAACUCCGUGCCAGCAGCCGCGGUAAUUC